rnacentral:rRNA from 1 species
AAAAAUCGAAGUAUAGGAGGUCUUGCCUGCCCAGUGAUAAAUUAAACGGCCGCGGUAUUUUGACCGUGCGAAGGUAGCGCAAUCACUUGUCUUUUAAAUGAAGACCUGUAUGAAUGGCGGAACGAGGGCUUAACUGUCUCCCCUUUCCAGUCAAUGAAAUUGAUCUGCCCGUGCAGAAGCGGGCAUAAAUAUACAAGACGAGAAGACCCUUUGGAGCUUAAGACACAAAGUCAACCAUGUCAAGAACACAAAAUAAGUUAAACUAAAUGGUGCCUGACUCCUAUCUUCGGUUGGGGCGACCACGGGAGAAAACAAAGCUCCCACGCGGACUGAGGUUAAGACCUUAAAACCAAGAAAGACAUUUCUAAGCAACAGAAUAUCUGACCAAUAAGAUCCGGCAUAAUGCCGAUCAACGAACCAAGUUACCCUAGGGAUAACAGCGCAAUCCCCUUUCAGAGUCCAUAUCGACAAGGGGGUUUACGACCUCGAUGUUGGAUCAGGACAUCCUAAUGGUGCAGCCGCUAUUAAGGGUUCGUUUGUUCAACGAUUAAAGUCCU